UAAUACCCAAUCCUGACACAGGGAGGUAGUGACAAGAAAUAACAAUACGGGGCUUGACGUCUUGUAAUUGGAAUGAUGGGAAUUUAAACCCCUUCCAGAGUAUCAAUUGGAGGGCAAGUCUGGUGCCAGCAGCCGCGGUAAUUCCAGCUCCAAUAGCGUAUAUUAAACUUGUUGCAGUUAAAAAGCUCGUAGUUGAAUUUCUGCUGUUUCGUUGACUGCGUUUGGCGUUUGUCAUCGUUGCGGCUUGGUUGGGUUUCGAUUAUUCGUUUCCCGGCGUUUACUUUGAGAAAAUUAGAGUGCUUGAAGCAGGCUUUUGCCUUGAAUACUUUAGCAUGGAAUAACGGAGUAGGACUUUGGUUCUAUUUUGUUGGUUUUAGGAGCCAGAGUAAUGGUUAAUAGGAACAGUUGGGGGCAUUCCGUAUUU
rnacentral:rRNA from 1 species